UCAAACAACACGUUGUUUUCAUUGCUCAUUAGCGGCGACAGCGCGAGUUUAAUUAGCAUUGACGUUACGUCUGAUACUCAUUACGGAACGGCGAAAAAAGGGUAAAGGCAAAUUGCUGCUGGCAGUUGCUGCCAAACUUCAAUAUAAUUAGACGCAAGCCGCUAGCAACACCUUGGCCAAAAAAUAACCAGAAAGUGGCCAAGAAAAAUGGCAAAACACUUUGAUUCAAUCAGCCCCAAAAAAUCCAACGCAAUCGAGGGUUGUACUGGCAAAAACUAAUUGCCUUUUCGACAUGCAUUUAAUCUCUAUUAGAGAACACACAAAAUUGAUGGAAAAGUUUUUGGCGUGGCCGCAUGUGUGAACCCGCCUGACUCCCUGGAGUCCCAUGUGCAAGUCCAGGUCCAGAAUCAGUGGCCACUCCACUCCUGAGUCUGGCUAGUCGGGCACCUUUGCCUGUUGCCGCUUGCUCUUUGCCGUUUCAUAAAUUAUUAAGGGGUUUGUUUUCCACACGCCACUUGGCCUUUUGUCCAUUUUUGGCAUUUAAAACAAAUUGUUGUUGCACGUUAGUUCGAUUAUUUUUGCCAGAGGGUGGCAAAACUUUUGCUCCGGCCAUCCUGUGUGCUGAUAAUGACGGAAGUCAUCACGUCUGAGGCUGGCAGCUCCGGCUCCAACUCCAACUCCAGCUUUAACUGAUAGAUGCCAAUUGGCUGGAAGGAUCCUAGUACCGAAGCGAAGCCAUCGUGUGCAGCAGCUGUGGCGACUGCUGAUGACCUUUUAAUUGAAGUGCCGGCAGCCAAGUGAGAUGCUGGAACAUUGCUGUGGCCGGGGCCUAACUUUGUUACCAUUGGAAAUUCGGAAAUUUGGCCAACUCCAAUUCAAGCUGCUCAGUCGAGCACACAAAAAUGCAAAUAAACGCACAUAAAACAAUUUGAAAUCAAAUUUGAUGAUAAAACCAAAGCCAAGCCAGGCCAAGCCGCGGGAAUCCUUUAAUAAACAGCCAAACAAAAAUUGAACACACAAAAUGUAAGUAGGCAAAUUCCGCGUAGCCAGCCACGCCCAUUUGCCGUUAAUUAAACCCUUCGCUGAAGAAAAUCUUUUGGCCAACCACGGCGAAAGUUUUUCCAUUAGAGCCAACGGGAACGGGAACGGGGCCUCGACCGGGUCUGGGGCCAUUGACGUUGCCGUUGCCGCCAGGCAAACGGAAUCAAAAAGUAAAAAUUUAUGAAGCGUUUAAUUGAAUUAAUUAAAAGCAAUAAUACCUUGAAAUAAUUGCGCCUAAUAGAAAAAGUUUUGCAUCGCUGGAGUUGAAGCUGCGACUGGCCGCAAUUCCAAGUGCCAAAUGUAGCUGUCGACUGACAAUGGGCUAACCUUUUGGCCACUUUUUGCCACUGGCAUCUUUUGACAUACGCCCAGGGGCGGAAGGCGGUUGGUCGGU